rnacentral:rRNA from 1 species
AUUUUUUCCUGUAGCAAUACAGGGAAACGUCUAGCGGCGAACGGGUGCUUAACACGUGGGCAAUCUGCCAAGAAGUGGGGGAUAGCUCGCCGAAAGGCGAAUUAAUACCGCAUGUGAUCAGAAUGGACAUCCAUUCGAAAUCAAAGUCGGGGCAACCUGACGCUUCUUGAGGAGCCCGCGGCCUAUCAGCUAGUUGGUGAGGUAACGGCCCACCAAGGCUUUGACGGGUAGCUGGUCUGAGAGGACGACCAGCCACACUGGGACUGAGACACGGCCCAGACACCUACGGGUGGCAGCAGUCGAGAAUUUUUCUCAAUGGGGGAAACCCUGAAGGAGCGACGCCGCGUGGAGGAUGAAGGUCUUCGGGUUGUAAACUCCUGUCAUUUGGGAACAAUGCGUAAAUAUUAACUGUAUUUGCGUUGAUAGUACCAGAAGAGGAAGAGACGGCUAACUCUGUGCCAGCAGCCGCGGUAAUACAGAGGUCUCAAGCGUUGUUCGGAUUCAUUGGGCGUAAAGGGUGCGUAGGCGGCGCGGUAAGUCGGGUGUGAAAUCUCGGGGCUUAACUCCGAAACUGCAUUCGAUACUGCCGUGCUUGAGGACUGGAGAGGAGACUGGAAUUUACGGUGUAGCGGUGAAAUGCGUAGAUAUCGUAAGGAAGACCAGUGGCGAAGGCGGGUCUCUGGACAGUUCCUGACGCUGAGGCACGAAGGCCAGGGGAGCAAACGGGAUUAGAUACCCCGGUAGUCCUGGCAGUAAACGGUGCACGUUUGGUGUGGGAGGAUUCGACCCCUUCUGCGCCGGAGCUAACGCGUUAAACGUG